rnacentral:misc_RNA from 1 species
UUUUUUUUUUUUUUGGGUAAUUAACUAUGAAAUUAAAAUGUCAUGGCUCCUCAAAAAAUUGCAAGACUGUAGUUUGCAACAAGUCUUGAUGCAGUUCUUCCAACAAAAAUCCUAAAAUUAGUUUUGCCAAAUACCGACUUUAGGCAAUUUGUUACUCCACAAUGAUCAUAAAUUUGCAAAUGUAUUAAAAUGUGCACCAAAAGAAGAAAAGGUGAGAGGAGACAAGUACAGA